rnacentral:rRNA from 1 species
GACGUAGGGGGCAAGCGUUGCUCGGAAUUAUUGGGCGUAAAGCGCUCGUAGGCGGGACUGGAAGUCCGUGUUGAAAGACCUCGGCUCAACUGAGGGACCGGCUCGGAUACUCUAGUUCUUGAGGCAAUCAGAGGGUGAUGGAAUUCCCGGUGUAGCGGUGAAAUGCGCAGAUAUCGGGAGGAACACCAGUGGCGAAGGCGAUCACCUGGGGUUGUUCUGACGCUGAGGAGCGAAAGCUAGGGGAGCAAACGGG